UUGCAGUUAUAGUUUAGAAUAAGAAUAACUUUUUUGUAAAAAGGGGGGAGCUAUCUGUUUAGCUUGUCUGCA
rnacentral:tRNA from 1 species